AUGGCAGAGGAGAUUCAUGCUCUUGAGCGCACAUGCACUUGGGACCUUGUACCCCUGCCUACAGGCGUUAGACCCAUCACUUGCAAAUGGGUCUAUAAGGUUAAGACACAUUCAGAUGGUUCUCUCGUGCGCUACAAAGCUUGUCUUGUUGCGCGUGGCUUCCAGCAGGAGUAUGGUCGUGACUAUGAUGAGACUUUUGCUCCUGUUGCUCACAUGACCAUAGUUCGCACUCUUUUGGCUGUCGUUGCUGUUCGACAGUGGUCCAUCUCUCAAUUAGAUAACAAGAAUGCCUUCUUGAAUGGUGAGAUGCGGGAACUGGUCUAUAUGCAGCCGCCUCCUGGCUAUACUGUCUCUGAUGGCACUGUUUGUCGCCUUCGGUGCGCUCUUUACGGGCUGAAACAAGCACCUCGUACCUGGUUUGAGCGUUUAUCCGCCGACAGCACAAGGAUCGGGUUCUAUGCUACUGUUCAUGAUUCUGCUCUGUUUAUUCACACUUCUCCUCGCGGUCGCACCCUUUUACUACUCUACGUUGAUGACAUGAUUAUCACAGGGGCUGACCACCAAUUCAUUGAUUUUGUGAAGAAACACCUACAUGAGCAAUUCUUGAUGACUUAUUUGGGUUCUCUUCGCUACUUUCUUGGACUCGAGAUCAUUUUUUCCCCUGAGGGUAUUUAUCUCUCUCAAGAGAAGUACAUCCAAGAUCUUCUCACUCGUGCCUGCCUCACUGAUCAGUGCACGGUUGACACUCCUAUGGAGUUUGGUCUCCGUCAUCGUCCUGGUGAGGGUGAACCCCUUGCAGACCCCACACGCUACCGCCAUCUUGUUGGGAGCCUUGUCUAUCUAGGCAUCACUCAUCCUGACAUUUCUUAUGUGUGCACAUUCUGA
rnacentral:rRNA from 1 species